rnacentral:rRNA from 1 species
UAGGGAAUCUUCCACAAUGGACGAAAGUCUGAUGGAGCAACGCCGCGUGAGUGAAGAAGGUUUUCGGAUCGUAAAGCUCUGUUGUUGGUGAAGAAGGAUAGAGGCAGUAACUGGUCUUUAUUUGACGGUAAUCAACCAGAAAGUCACGGCUAACUACGUGCCAGCAGCCGCGGUAAUACGUAGGUGGCAAGCGUUGUCCGGAUUUAUUGGGCGUAAAGCGAGCGCAGGCGGAAUGAUAAGUCUGAUGUGAAAGCCCACGGCUCAACCGUGGAACUGCAUCGGAAACUGUCAUUCUUGAGUGCAGAAGAGGAGAGUGGAACUCCAUGUGUAGCGGUGGAAUGCGUAGAUAUAUGGAAGAACACCAGUGGCGAAGGCGGCUCUCUGGUCUGCAACUGACGCUGAGGCUCGAAAGCAUGGGUAGCGAACAGGAUUAGAUACCCUGGUAGUCCGUGCCGUAAACGAUGAGCGCUAGGUGUUGGGGACUUUCCGGUCCUCAGUGCCGCAGCAAAUC